rnacentral:tRNA from 1 species
AAUAAAGUGCCUGAUAAAAGGACUAUUUUGAUAGAAUAGAUUAUACAUUGCAUUAUAUGUCUUUAUUA